GAUGAACGCUGGCGGCGUGCCUAAUACAUGCAAGUCGAGCGAACAGAUGAGAAGCUUGCUUCUCUGAUGUUAGCGGCGGACGGGUGAGUAACACGUGGGUGACCUACCUAUAAGACUGGGAUAACUCCGGGAAACCGGGGCUAAUACCGGAUAAUAUUUUGAACCGCAUGGUUCAAUAGUGAAAGACGGUUUCGGCUGUCACUUAUAGAUGGACCCGCGCCGUAUUAGCUAGUUGGUAAGGUAACGGCUUACCAAGGCGACGAUACGUAGCCGAACUGCGAGGGUGAUCGGCCACACUGGAACUGAGACACGGUCCAGACUCCUACGGGAGGCAGCAGUAGGGAAUCUUCCGCAAUGGGCGAAAGCCUGACGGAGCAACGCCGCGUGAGUGAUGAAGGUCUUCGGAUCGUAAAACUCUGUUGUUAGGGAAGAACAAAUUUGUUAGUAACUGAACAAGUCUUGACGGUACCUAACCAGAAAGCCACGGCUAACUACGUGCCAGCCGCCGCAGUAA
rnacentral:rRNA from 1 species